rnacentral:lncRNA from 1 species
GGGAUGUUAUUUUGGGCAGUGCAUCUGGACUUGGUUCAAGUGGCACCAGCCAAAUCCCUGCCUUACUGACCUCUCCCCUGGAGGAGCAGGAGCAGCACUCGAGGCCGCCCUGGGAGGGCUGAGAGGCAGGCUCUGGACUGGGGACACAGGGAUAGCUGAGCCCCAGCUGGGGGUGGAAGCUGAGACAGGGACAGUCACAGAGGAACAAGAUCAAGAUGCGCUUUAACUGAGAAGCCCCCAAGGCAGAGGCUGAGAAUCAGAAGACAUUUCAGCAGACAUCUACAAAUCUGAAGGACAAAACAUGGUUCAAGCAUCUGGGCACAGGCGAUGGAGUCUCGCUCUGUUGCCCAGGCUGGAGUGCAGUGGCGUGAUCUCGGCUCAUUGCAACCUCUGACUCCCGUGUUCAAGUGAUUCUUCUGCCUCAGCCUCCCGAGUACCUGGAACUACAGGCGCGUGUCACCACACCUGGCUAAGUUUUGUAUUUU